AUCGCUUCUCGGCCUUUUGGCUAAGAUCAAGUGUAUAAUAUCUGUUUUUUCAGCUUAAUAUCUGAAAUGCUACUCAUUGAUUAGCUUCGAAUAUUAAACCAAUUUUUUAACUCACGCUCUGGAAUAGGAGCUUGCUCUCUCGUGGCCACGGAUUGACCUGAUAUUACAGUAUUCAAGACCAACCCAUCCUCU